rnacentral:lncRNA from 1 species
UGCUUCGAAAGCACAGUGAACCAGUACCUGAAACAUGUAUAUAAAAACUAAGAUAAAGAAUCUAUGUUUGCAAAAUCAGUAUCUUGGAUCAUAAAAGUUAUUAUGAUCUAUUUUGCAAGGCACUCUUACGAAGUCCAGAAUAAUGAGUAUUAAGUAGAAUAUUUGAAGAGCAUACUUACUCUAGCUCUUUGUAAUAUGAUAGAUCAAUUGUAUUGGGCUCGUACCUGUUAGUGUGUUGUAAUUCAAGAUAUGAGAUUAGAACAUUGCAUGGAUGGAUAUAUAAAUAAAUACUAAGAACAAAUAGUCAUGCAAUUCUAACCAAUUUUAAACUUGCGUAUUUUAAAUCAUUAUCACAAACAAAAGAAAAUUUCAAAUCAAAGCUGUCACCACCAAGAAAUCAAAUCAAUGAAAUAAACAAAAGAAAUACAGGACUAACGAACCAAUAAAAAAUCUCACAAACAUAUCUAUAUGUUGUUAUUUUAAUCACAUAAGAAACUAAGUGAACUGAAAACCAGUUACAUUAAAGCUGUCACCACAACCAGCAUAAUAACACAAUGUACUUAAUUGAAACAUCAAUGAAAACCCAUAAUUUAGAUAAGAAAAUUAAAAACAAAGAAAGAAAGGAAGCAGAACUGUCUUACCUAAGACAAUGUGGAUUGAAGUUAAGCAAAUUGGAUGGCAGAUAACAGAAAACUGGAUGGCAGUAAAUUGGAUGGCAAAUAUAAAGUAAGUAAAAUGAUCCAAUAUUUGAAAGAAAAAUCAACAAUUAAAUCUAUAACUGUACGCAUAAUACAAGACUAAUAGCAAAAUAAAACUCCAAACAGAUUUAACUACUAUCAUUUGGUCGAGACUAAAGUUUCAAAUUUUGAAAAUUACUGGAGCUAAAUUUGACCAAUUCAAAGAAUACAUAAACUAAAAUUGAUCAAAUUAAGUACAGGGAUAUGAUUUUAGUUUAUAUAACAUAUGAAAGAAUGUUGAUUAUAUGCAAAUAUAAACAAAACAGGAUGAUACAUGAUAUAAAUAAGUUUUUCCUCUUUCAAUUUUAAAACUUGCAUUUAACUUACUUUCUAAUCUUUGUCUCCAAACUUAUAUUACUUGUAUUUUAUGUGAGAAUUUACAAAUUUGGUCCAUAUUGAAUCAUUGAUUUGAGAAAAUCAUUGAUCUGAUCAAUGGUAUCAAAAUCAACUUGUAACACCCCGACUCGUGUCCGUCACCGGAUUAGUGUUACGAGGCAUUACCGAUCAAAACCCGACUCAAUUUUUUUUUUAUAAAUAAAUUAAUCCAUUAUAUAUAUACUAAGCCAUAAAUCCUAAUCAAUACACAUUUGAAUAUAUAUACAUUCGUUUACUCUAUCAAUACGCCAAACGUAAUUAAUCACCAACAUUUACAAGCAUACUUCAAUUUAUAAAUCAUCUCCUAUAUUCACUUAACUACUAAAUCCAACCAAAUCAUAUAUAUUUCAUAUAUAAUACGUAACCUAGACACUUAACUUAACAUUAUUUAUCUUAAUGAAUAUAACAAACUUACUUACUUCAACCACAUAAUUACCGAAACACUUGAAUGAAAUCACCAUGCACAUAUAUAUAUUACCAUAUAAAUACUAACCAUAAAAUACUAAUCCAUGAUUAAAGUAUGCGUAAACCAUAAUUCAGCCCAAAACCGAACACAAACAAGAAAAUUAAGCCAUUUUCGCAUGGCUUAAUAUUACAUAAUCUAAAUUCAAGUAUUUCAUCUACGCUAUACAUGCCAUAAGAUCGAAUUCAAAAUUUACAAAAUACCGAGAGGAGUCGAUAGUGUGAUAAUCUUCUCUGACGAUCCCCGAGCUCGUAACCAACUUCCAAAAAUCUAUAAAACGAAGAACAACAUACACACAGUAAGCUAUUUAAAGCUUAGUAAGUCAUAAGCAAAAAUUCAUUUAUAUAUAUAUUAAUACUUAUUCCAUCAUUAAGUUAAAAUAAACCAAAUAUCAUAAUAUUUUGUACCAUAUAACACUUUAAUAAAAAUCACAUUGUAUUUUCAUAUAAACAAACCAUAUGGCCAAAUACACAUAAAUAUUUAGCAAAGCCGAAUAUUCAAUAAAUCAUUAUGCUAAAACAUGCUUAUACUCAAAUGAUUAACUCAUACUCUAUAUUUCAUUUGAAACUAUUAUCAAAUUAAAAUAAUCAACUUACCUCAUCAGCAAUUAAGCAAAUGGCUAACACAUACCUGAAUAAUUUAACUUUCUUAACACAUUUAUUUGCUUUUACUAUUGCUCAUAUAAAAUUUAUAAAACAUAGAGCCCUAUAUAAAACACCGGCAUAAAGCCUGCUAGGCACAAAGCCCGAUUCAUUUCACCGGCACAAAGCCUGCUAGACAUAAAGUCGGAAUUAAUUCACCGGCAUCAAGCCUGCUAGACAUAAAGUCUAAAUAAUUCACCGGCCAACCUGCUAGACAUAAAGUCUAAAAUAAGUCACCGGCAUCAAGCCUGCUAGGCAUUAAGCCCUGAAAUAUCCACCGGCAUCAAGCCUGCUAGGCAUUACGCUGAAAUAAUCCACCGGCAUCACGCCUGCUAGGCAUUAAGCCCUGAAAUAAUCCACCCGGCAUCAAGCCCUGCUAGCAUUAAGCCUGAAAAUCUCAUAUACAAAGAUGAUCUUGUCGUAUAUUCGUUAUGUUUACCUAAGUCUUACUCAAUAACCAGUAGCUCCGUCAAGAAUUUAAUUAUAUUCACUUCUCAUAGCAAACAACAUUCGGAACCACAUAUGUAUAAUUUACAACAUUAAAAUUCAGCUCAAAGAUUUGUAACCUAUAUUUCGAACCACAUAUGUAAUUAAAUUCAUACAUUAAAGUCAGCUCAAGAACUUUGUAACCUAUAUUUGAACCACAUAUGUAUAUAAAAUUCAUACAUUAAAUACAGCUCAAGAACUUUAAAUAUAUAUAUUCGAACCAUAUGUGCAUAUAUAUAUAAUUCAUAAUAUUAAGUUCAACUCAAAGAAUCAAAGAACUUGUAUCAUACAUCAAAUUUAUAUAUAUAAUUCUAACUUUAAAUUCCAACUCAAGAAAUUAAAUCUUACAUUCGAACUACAUAUCCAUGUACAUUCUACUAUUAGUUUCAUAUCAUUGAACUUAAAGCAUACUUUAGCUAAUAUACAUGUAAUUUAUACCAUUAAUAUCAACCUCCCAAAAUUAAUUUCUAUGUUCGGCUAUCACAUAGAAAAAUCACCAAGUUUUAUUCAAUUUAUAUACUUUUAGUUCCAGCUUACUAAAUGUAUGAUAGAUAUAUUUAUAUAAAUUCCAAUUUAAUAACAUUUAAAUUGCUAUUAGACUUACCUUGGAUGUCGUCGACUGUUAAAUCGGCUACUCGACCACUUUUGUAUUUCCCCGAUCCAAAUCCGAUUUCUUUAAUUCUUGAUCUAAGCAUAUUCAAAUUAAGUUUAUUUAAACAUCAUUCUAUUCAAUUUAACCUAAAAACACAUAAAUAGGCAAAUUACAAUUUUGCCCCUAACAUUUCACACUUUUUACAAUUUAGUCCUUUUUGCUCAAAACACAAAAUACACAAAAUUUGACUUCACUCCUUAAGGGCCGAAUAUUCCUAGUGUCCAUACAAGCCCACAUAUUUCAUUUAUUUCACAUUUUAGUCCCUCAAAAAUUUAUUUUUACAAUUAAAACCUAAUUACUCAAAUUCAUCAAAAACUCAAAGACACGACAUGUUAAUCUUUCACAUAUCUUUCAUAUUCCAUCAUCAACUAUCACAAAGCUCAAGCAUUCAUCAAUGGCAUUUCUCAAAAUCAUCAACAAUUCACAAAAUUAAGAUAUGGGUUUUGAAGUAUUCAAAGCAAUGAUCUCAAAAACGUAAAAAUUACCAAAAACCAAACAAAAACCAACCUUGAAUUAAGCUUCAAAAUGGCCGAAUGUUUCAAGCUUUCAAACCUUGUUUUUCUUUUCUACAUUCGGUGAAGAAAGAUGAACAUAAAAUGGUGGCUUUUAAUGUUUUGUUUUAUUAUAACAUAUAUUAUUAUAUUAUUAUUUUAACUUUUAUUUUAUAUAUAUAUAAAUCACAUAUCAUCAUUAUGCCAUCCACUACCUAUUACUAUUGGCUAAAUUACAACAUAAGGCCUCAAACUUAUAAAGACAGCAACAAUUAGGCACUUUCUUAAUUAACCAUCAAAUUUUCAUUUUACGCGAUUAAGCCAUUUUUUUUAAAUUAAGCGCACAAACAUAAAAUUAAUUCACGAAACUUUCACAUAUGUAAAUUCACACAUAAUUAACACAGAAAAUAAUAUUAAAAUAUUUUUCAGACUCGAUUUUGUGGUCCCAAAACCACUGUUCCGAUUAGGGUCAAAAUCGGGCUGUUACAACUCUCCCCCUCUUAGGGAUUUUCGUCCCCGAAAAUCUUACCGGUGAAUAGGUUUGGAUAACGCUCUUCCAUUGUAUCUUCUGACUCCCAAGUUGCCUCCUCAACUCUGUGUUUUUGCCAUAGUACUUUGACUAACUAAAUUUUCUUAUUUCUCAAUUCUUUAAUAUCACGAGUCAGAAUACAAAUCGGUUCCUCUUCAUAUGUCAUAUCAGAUUGCAUCUCAAUCUCUGUGGGACUAAUCACAUGUGAAGGAUUAGAUAGGUAUCUAUGGAGCAUCGAAACAUGGAAUACAUUGUGAAUCUUUUCUAGCUCAGGUGGCAACUACAAUCUAUAAGCAACCAGCCCGAUACGCUCUAUAAUCUCAUACGACCCAAUAAAUCUCACACUCAAUUUCUUUUUACGAUCAAAUCUAAGUAUUUUCUUCCACUGUGAUACCUACAAAAAGACUUUAUCUCCAAUCUGAAACUCUAUAUCUUUUCUUUUCAAGUCUGCAUACAAUUUCUGACGAUUCAAUGUUGUUUUUUUUUUUAGACUAUCGCGAAACACUUUCACAUCAUAUAUUUCAAAUUCACACAUAGCUUCAAAUUUCAAAUCUCUUUAAUCUCACAACUAAAAUUCUGAUCUAACUUUCAGUGUACAUCAUCCCUAGCUGAAACUGCUUAACUGUAUUAAAUUUUUUUUUUCCAUUUUCUACUCACAUUCUCUGAUGAUUUUAAUCCUGUGAAUCAUUUUCUCACAAAACUCAAUCCUGAAAUAACGGAGUUCGAUAAUUGCUUAUAAUAGCAAACAUCUUUCUUAGUUACUUUGCAAUUCUAAAACAUAGUGACAAAUAAAUAUUUCAAGAAUUUGGUUUGCGUUUCCCGAUUUCAAUGCAAUUUCAUACUCAUAGAUUACUGUAAUCUCUCUUAGAAUUACCAUAUAAAUUUCAAAUCUCAAUCCAAAACAAUGAUAACUGACACCAUAGACAGAUUUACCAACACAGAAACACAUAACUUAACUGUUUUAUCAAAAGAAAAAAAAAAUCUAUACUUACAGAGAGAUUUCUUCAGAGAGUUAACCAUAUUUAAGAUAACUUUAUCUUUUUCAAUGAUAAGAAAAUCCUUAUACAAAAUUCAUCAACUCUCUAUUUCUAUAAUCAACAAAGUCAGAAAUAUCACAUUUCACACUCAUCAUCUAUAUCAUAUCUCGGACUGUUGUACAUCUUGUUAAUCCCGUAUGAACACCAGUGAAAUUUUCUUGUAACAAUUGUUAUAUAUUCGUAGAACCUUCCAGUAUGCACACUCUAUCUCGAAAUAACAAAUAAUCAUCAAUACCACAUCUAAGGUUCUAAGCCGGAAAUCAAUUUAUGUUGAACUCCUUUUUAACUUAUAAUUCGCUGACACAUUUCUAAAUUUCACAACUUCAUUAUAUAAACAUUUAUUUAGCCUCUAAUUCAUCUAUCAACAGUUCAUUACGUGAUAAGAUCAAUCACGUAUUCAUCGCCCAAUCAAAAUAUCCGAAACUUUAAUCAUUUUCCUCGGAUAAGAAUCACUUACAGACUUAAAAGUUUUUCGACGAUUGAAACUAACCUUGCUUUGCCUAGUUCAAAUCUUUAUCUGACAUUAAACAUUUUAAACUCUUAUAAUCAUCAAAUAUUUCACAUAACUCUUUUUAUGCAGCUUUAACUGUAUAAAAUUAGAAGAUAUCUCUAUACACUCUUGUAUUGAAAUACAUUUCGAACCAUUCAUUAACAUGAGGACGAAAAUCAUAAUCUCUUUAUUAAACUCAAACUGAACCAGAACUGAUAUUUCGGUCGACAUUGUCUUCGGGCAAAAGAAAACUUCAACAAUCAAACUAACUUUAAUUUAUCACAACAUUUCCCAGAUAGGAUCAUUCCGAUAGAUAUAAUUCGGUAUCAAGUCUUCAAGAAUACAAGUUCUUCUUCCAGAUUAUCCCUCAAUUCACACAUGUUCAUUCAAAAUUUAUUUCCAUACAUAUGAAUAGAUUUAGACACAUAUAACUCAAUUAUCUUUUCAAACAAAUAAUUCAAAUUCGACUAAACCACUGAAUCAGUCUUUUCGAAUGAAUCUUUUCUUCUCAUUGAUAAGGAUAACCCAGACAUAUUAUUUCAUAGAUUUAAUAUUAUUCUUCUAUCAUUUUCACUUUUAUCAAUGCUAAACCUUUAUGAGAACUAGAAAAGAGUUUAUAAUGAAGCUAUCUCAUAUAUUAUUCAUCGAAACUCUAAAUUAUACAGAAAUUACCUUAACCAAAUAGAAAUCAUUGUGCCUUAAUAAGAACAAUGUCUCAACCCUAUAAAUAGAUAUUAUCCCAACUGUUAAUGAAGCAUUUGGACACAGAGAAAAAUCAAAUAUGAUUUAAAUAGCAAUCAUUGCAGAAACAAAACUUCUAUAACUCUGGGGAUGGUACCACUGUACAAUCACAUUUCAAGUCAGAAAUUAAAAUCAUAAUAAACAUAAUCCUCUUUGCCAAAUAGUGAUCUCUUGCAGAUAAUCACGUGGAAUCAUAAGAAAACCAGAAUAGCGAAAUUUCAGCAUAUGGAGUCACAUAAGAUAUCUAAGAAAAAAAUUACAACCUAUAUAAAAUGAUAUAAAAUUCCAAUGAUAUCCUAGAAAAUGUCCAGAAAGAACGAUGUCAUUCUUAAAUACUGAAAUCCACAGUAACAAAAGCAAUAUAAUCUUCGCAUAUAUUCAACAGAACAAUAACCAGUAGAAAUAGAAUAUUGAUCUCAUUCAGAUUUUACCAUCGACUUUCGUAUCCACACAAUGAAACAAAUUAUCAGUGAAAGAGAUAACAAUGUCGAACAUAACCCAAACAAAUCAACCAUGCUUUCAUCUAUCAGUACAUUUAGUUAGCGUUUUCACACGAUAAGAAUUUUCUUCUUCUUUUUUUUUUUUGAAUUGAAAAAAAAUCACAUAUACAUCUGAAGAUAAAUGUACACACAGAAUACCCAAAAAGAAUCAUAGUAAUUGCCCGACUAUAACCAUUGUACUCAACUAUCAACACAAUUCAAUCAUUAUUCCACUAUCUAAUUUUUUUAUCAGAAAUUUUUCACAUUAUCCCAUCUCUAAAAGAAAUCAAUUCAGGAAAAACUUCCAAUUAAUACUAAUAACAUACCUGAAUACUUUUAUUUCAUCAAAUUCAACUUCUUAGUUAACAGUGACUUUGCAUAAUACGAAUGGCCAUUAAAACGAUUCAAUAUCUCUUAUAGCACUAUCUCAAUUUGCUGACCCAUUCUUUUAUUCGACCACAUUAGUAAUCUUUCAAACACAAACCUCUGUAACUCCACACUUGUGAGCUUAUUCAAUCCAAAUCUUACAGAUUUCAUUGUAACAUUUUACUGAUAAGGGGUGAGGAUAGUAAAACUUCAAAUUUAACUCGGACAUAAAUGCACAUAACACAUACUAUUACAAAUAGCCAAUUUAUUAAUAAUUUCACAUUCUCGAAACAUUUAAUAAACAUUUGCUUAUAAUCACAUUUUUCCUCAACACAUAAUCCAUAUGCCAACUCAAAUCACAAAUUCACAAUCAAAGCAUUCAUAUAGCAAUCGUAGGCCACAUAUCACAACUCAUAUACUCAUAUCAUUACAACAUUUAUCAACAACAAAAUAUCUUAUAUCCUUAUUCAUACCUUCAUGAGUCUCAACUCAUCAUCAACACAUUUUCACUCAAACAUUUGAGUAUUUACUUCUGUACUAUCAAAAUUAGCUCGGUUGGAAAACAUAUCUGUCUCAUCAAAACAAUUUUCGUCAGAGUCGGGAGAUAUCACACUAUCGUAGGUUAAAUAUGGCAUGUAUAGCUAGACUCACACCCACUACGUUAGUCCUAGAACCGACUAAACCGUAGCUCUGAUACCAAUCAAAUGUAACACCCCGACUCGUGUCCGUCGCCGGAUUAGUGUUACGAGGCAUUACCGAUCAAAACCCGACUCAAUUUUUUUUUAUAAAUAAAUUAAUCCAUUAUAUAUAUACUAAGCCAUAAAUCCUAAUCAAUACACAUUUGAAUAUAUAUACAUUCGUUUACUCUAUCAAUACGCCAAACGUAAUUAAUCACCAACAUUUACAAGCAUACUUCAAUUUAUAAAUCAUCUCCUAUAUUCACUUAACUACUAAAUCCAACCAAAUCAUAUAUAUUUCAUAUAUAAUACGUAACCUAGACACUUAACUUAACAUUAUUUAUCUUAAUGAAUAUAACAAACUUACUUACUUCAACCACAUAAUUACCGAAACACUUGAAUGAAAUCACCAUGCACAUAUAUAUAUUACCAUAUAAAUACUAACCAUAAAAUACUAAUCCAUGAUUAAAGUAUGCGUAAACCAUAAUUCAGCCCAAAACCGAACACAAACAAGAAAAUUAAGCCAUUUUCGCAUGGCUUAAUAUUACAUAAUCUAAAUUCAAGUAUUUCAUCUACGCUAUACAUGCCAUAAGAUCGAAUUCAAAAUUUACAAAAUACCGAGAGGAGUCGAUAGUGUGAUAAUCUUCUCUGACGAUCCCCGAGCUCGUAACCAACUUCCAAAAAUCUAUAAAACGAAGAACAACAUACACACAGUAAGCUAUUUAAAGCUUAGUAAGUCAUAAGCAAAAAUUCAUUUAUAUAUAUAUUAAUACUUAUUCCAUCAUUAAGUUAAAAUAAACCAAAUAUCAUAAUAUUUUGUACCAUAUAACACUUUAAUAAAAAUCACAUUGUAUUUUCAUAUAAACAAACCAUAUGGCCAAAUACACAUAAAUAUUUAGCAAAGCCGAAUAUUCAAUAAAUCAUUAUGCUAAAACAUGCUUAUACUCAAAUGAUUAACUCAUACUCUAUAUUUCAUUUGAAACUAUUAUCAAAUUAAAAUAAUCAACUUACCUCAUCAGCAAUUAAGCAAAUGGCUAACACAUACCUGAAUAAUUUAACUUUCUUAACACAUUUAUUUGCUUUUACUAUUGCUCAUAUAAAAUUUAUAAAACAUAGAGCCCUAUAUAAAACACCGGCAUAAAGCCUGCUAGGCACAAAGCCCGAUUCAUUUCACCGGCACAAAGCCUGCUAGACAUAAAGUCAGAAUUAAUUCACCGGCAUCAAGCCUGCUAGACAUAAAGUCUAAAAUAAUCCACCGGCAUCAAGCCUGCUAGGCAUUAAGCCUGAAAUAAUCCACUGGCAUCAAGCCUGCUAGGCAUUAAGCCUGAAAUAAUCCACCGGCAUCAAGCCUGCUAGGCAUUAAGCCUAAAAAUCUCAUAUACAAAGAUGAUCUUUUGUAUAAUUCUUUAUGUUUACCUAAGUCUUACUCAAUAACCGUAUCUCCGUAAGAAUUGAAUUAUAUUCAAUUCUCCAUAGCAAACAAACAUUCGAACCACAUAUGUAUAAUUUACAACAUUAAAAUUCAGCUCAAAGAAUUUGUAACCUAUAUUCGAACCACAUAUGUAAGUAAAAUUCAUACAUUAAAUUCAGCUCAAGAACUUUGUAACCUAUAUUUGAACCACAUAUGUAUAUAAAAUUCAUACAUUAAAUACAGCUCAAGAACUUUAAAUAUAUAUAUUCGAACCAUAUGUGCAUAUAUAUAUAAUUCAUAAUAUUAAGUUCAACUCAAAGAAUCAAAGAACUUGUAUCAUACAUUCAAACUUUAUAUAUAUAAUUCAUAACUUUAAAUUCAACUCAAGAAAUUAAAUCUUACAUUCGAACUACAUAUCCAUGUACAUUCUACUAUUAGUUUCAUAUCAUUGAACUUAAAGCAUACUUUAGCUAAUAUACAUGUAAUUUAUACCAUUAAUAUCAACCUCCCAAAAUUAAUUUCUAUGUUCGGCUAUCACAUAGAAAAAUCACCAAGUUUUAUUCAAUUUAUAUACUUUUAGUUCCAGCUUACUAAAUGUAUGAUAGAUAUAUUUAUAUAAAUUCCAAUUUAAUAACAUUUAAAUUGCUAUUAGACUUACCUUGGAUGUCGUCGAUUGUUAAAUCGGCUACUCGACCACUUUUGUAUUUCCCCGAUCCAAAUCCGAUUUCUUUAAUUCUUGAUCUAAGCAUAUUCAAAUUAAGUUUAUUUAAACAUCAUUCUAUUCAAUUUAACCUAAAAACACAUAAAUAGGCAAAUUACAAUUUUGCCCCUAACAUUUCACACUUUUUACAAUUUAGUCCUUUUUGCUCAAAACACAAAAUACACAAAAUUUGACUUCACUCCUUAAGGGCCGAAUAUUCCUAGUGUCCAUACAAGCCCACAUAUUUCAUUUAUUUCACAUUUUAGUCCCUCAAAAAUUUAUUUUUACAAUUAAACCCUAAUUACUCAAAUUCAUCAAAAACUCAAAGACACGACAUGUUAAUCUUUCACAUAUCUUUCAUAUUCCAUCAUCAACUAUCACAAAGCUCAAGCAUUCAUCAAUGGCAUUUCUCAAAAUCAUCAACAAUUCACAAAAUUAAGAUAUGGGUUUUGAAGUAUUCAAAGCAAUGAUCUCAAAAACGUAAAAAUUAUCAAAAACCAAACAAAAACCAACCUUGAAUUAAGCUUCAAAAUGGCCGAAUGUUUCAAGCUUUCAAACCUUGUUUUUCUUUUCUACAUUCGG